AUAAAAAUUUUUAAUUUUCUUAUUCUUCUUUUAUAUUUUUUUUAUAUUCUCGAUUAUUUUAAUCUCAUGUCAUGCAACGGUGGUAGGAGUUGUUGGGCCGAUGCUCUACUUCCGGUGGCCAGUUAAGGAUUCGCGCUCUGAUUAGUAUCUUCGAGUACUCAAUUAGAGUUAGGUCUUGUGGUAGAACGUCGUCUUUGUAAUCCUAUGGUGGUCAGGGAUUUAUGCCUUGCUCCUUCCUGUGUCGUUGGGACAUAAGGCGUUCAACUAUUAGGCCGUUGUCGUAACCCUCGAUUGGUCACUGGUGAGUAUCAUCCGUCCAGCGACUUUCGUCCACCGAUGUAAGUCGUGACAUGGGGGCGAUAGAGAAGGUUAAUUUUUUAAGUUUUUUCUUUUUUUUCAUCAAUCAUCGGACUUUAGAUGUUUUUUUAAUAUUUUUUAUUUUUUUGGAUCGCAUUUGAUACGUUUUUGAACAUUUGUAUUUUAAAUGCUCUUUAUAUUGUAAUUUUGUUUAUUAGUAAUGAUUAAUAUUUUUAAUUUUACUUUCUUCGCUUUAAAUUAGAUGAUAGUAUUUUUGAUACUUCUACAUUCUAUGUUAAUAGAAAUGUUAUAUAUAUUUUGGAUUUAGUAUUAACAUGUUAUUAUUUAGAUAAUUUAAGAUAACUUAAUAUCUCGAUGGACAAUAUGGGACAACGUGGGACAACAUAAGAUGACGAUGGACAACAUCAGACAACAUAAGAUGACGAUGGACAACAUCAGACAACAUAAGAUGACGAUGGACAACGGGGAACGACGUUGGACAAUGUAGGACAACUUGGAAUGACCUUGGAUGACGAUGGACAAAGCGAAAAAUUUUUAGGUGAGUCUCGAUGCAUAGUCACCUCCUCGUUGGUGAGACAUGGUAAUUGAUAUUGAUUUUUGUAUUAAUUGGAUUAAUCUUUGAAAAUUUUCUAAAAAUUAUUCUUUAAAAACGAUACCAAACUAAGAAUUACGGAGUGUCUACAGCUCAAUUUAAAUUAUUAAAUUCUUUUUGGAUAUUUUGGAUAUUUGAUAUUUUGAUAUUUCGUCUAGAUUGAGCUAUAGGUAGUAUUAGUAGUAUAGGUAGUAUAGGUAGUAUUAUUUUUGAUAUUUUGCAAAAUAUCAAAAUCAAAUUUAUAUUUUUAUUUAUUUGUUUUACAUUUAAGAUUUUUAAUUUAUUUUUAUUUCAUAUAAUUGUUUUUAUAUUUAAUUCUUUUCAGAUUCUUUUUUUUCAGGUUCUUUUUUUCAGAUUUAAUUUAUUCUUACAUUAAAUUAUUUCAUGCAUAUUUAAUAUGUAAUAUAUAUAAUAUAUGUAAUAUUUGCAGUUCAAUUUAAACAUUCCAUUUAAUUAUCUUGAUCAAUUGUUGAUAUACAUUGUUGAUAUAGUUGAUAUAUAUUGUUGAUAUGGAUAUAGUAUAAUAUGGACAUAUAGUAUAUAUAGACUGCAAAUACAAAUAAAAUCUGUAUCAAGAUAUUCUCGUUUUUAUUUUAUUCUUCAACAAUGUAAGUACUAAGUAAGUAUGAACAUAAAUUUUUUGAAGCAACUAAUAAAAUAUCCCCGAUUAAGUUGCAAGUUGUAUUUACUGUACGCAUUUCGUAUCAAAAUAUUCUCCCUAACUUAAAGCGAAAACAAAAUUAUUUUACUUAUUCCCAAAUGAUUUCUUUUCUUGCCAUUCCAUCACAAAUUCCCAUUUAUAUUUAAAGUAUUCGUUUAUUUCUUCUAGAAUAUAUUCCUUUUUAUUUAUUAUUUUAAGAUGUUUGCAAAUUUUUCGUCGCUUUUUCUAAAUCACUGUCAAUCACAAUAUUGCACUGUCAUGCAAUAGUGGCAGGACUUCCAUCGAUUUUCGUAAGUUCAUUGAUGUAAGUCGUUUAGGGGCGACAGAAAAAGUUGAUUUUUUAUCGAUCGUAAGUUCUUCUUCUAAUGCUUAUUAUUUUUUUGGUCUGUAUUUACUUGCUUUUGACUUCUUUUUUUUUUUUUUUAAAUUUUAUUUAUUAUAAAUGAUUUAGUAUAAAUGAUUUUGAAUUUUUCUUUUUUUCGCUUUAAGUUAAACGAGAAUAUUUCUGAUACGAAUAAUAUUAAUAAAAUUGUUAUGUAUUGUAAAUUAUAGGUUUAAGAUUUUAAAAUAUAGUUUAAGUUAGUUUUAAGGUAUCAUCGUUGGACAACGUGGAAUUAAUUAGCGAGCGAAUAUAAAAAACUUUUGUAAAAAUCGUUGUAAAGAUCCAUUAAUAAAUAAUCAAAUAAUUAUGUCAUUUCAUAAUGUAUUUAUAAUUAAUAAAUAUUUCUUUUAUAUUUCUUUUCAUCUAUUUAUUGUUUUUAAUUAAUCUUUUAUAUUUUAUUUGUUAUUUUUUUAUAUUUAAUUUAUUUGAAUUAAUCAUUAAUUUUAAUGUUUUUUUUUAUUUUUUAGGUUUAGGUGGGUCUCGAUGCGUAGUCACCUCCUCGUCGGUGAGACUCGGUAAUUGGCAUCGCUUUCAAAAAUCUUAUAUCACAAAAUUUAUUUCAUUAAAAAGUUUUCGAAAUAUUUUAAAUCUGUAAAUAUCAAAUACAUUUCAUCAAUGAUAGUGUGUGGAAAGCGAUGGCAAGCCAAGAACUACGCACAUCUGCAGUCCAGUAUAAACUUUGUAUAAUAAUUAUUUAAUUAUUUUGAUUUUAAUUUUUAAUUAAUUAAACUGGACUGCAGAUAUUAGUUAUAAGUUAAUGUAUUAUUACAAUAAAUUUAAUCUAAUUUAUAUAAGUGUAUUAUAAGUGCGUUUUCCGUAUCGAGAUAUACUUUCUAAUUUAAAGCGAAAACUAAAAACUAAAUUUUUAAUUCUCUUUCUUUACUUCCCUUUUAUAUUCUCGCUUUUCGUUUUCAUUAUUUUUCAUCUCGGGUUUUUAUUUAAAUAAUUAUUCGCUUUUCACUUUCUUCCUCAAUUUAUCCUUUUAAUUAUUUUAUAUUUUCUUUUUUUCUUUUCUCGCGUAUUUUAAUCUCAUGUCAUGCAACAGUGGUAGAAAUCGUUGGGCCGGUGCUCUACUUCCGGUGGCCAGUUAAGGGUCCGCGUUCUAAUCGAUUGGUAUCUUCGAGUACUCGAUUAGAAUUAGGUCUUGUGGUGGAACGUCGUCUUUGUAAUCCGGCUCCGGUGGUCAGGGAUUUAUGCCUUGCUCCUUCCUGUGUCGUUGGGACAUAAGACGUUCAACUAUUAGGCCGUUGUCGUAACCCUCGAUUGGUCACUGGUGAGUAUCAUCUGUCCAUCGAUUUUCGUAAAUCCAUUGAUGUAAGUCGUGAUAUGAGAGCGAUAGAGAUGGUCGAUUUUCCAUCGAUCUUAGAUUCUUCUUCUAAUGCUUAUUAUUUUCUUGGCCUGCAUUUAAUCGCUUUUUGAACUUUUUGAGUUCUCUCUUUUUUUAUUAAAGUUUUGUUUAGUAUAAAUGAUUAGCAUUUUCUUCUUCAAUUGUAUCCUUUCGGAUAUUUUAUAUUUUCUUCUUCUCUUUUGUUGCUUAUUUCAAGUCAAUCUUAUGUCAUGUAACGGUGGAAUCGUUGAGCUGGUGCUCGGUUCCGAUGGCCAGUUAAGGGUCAGCGUUCUGAUCGAUUAGUAUCUUCGAGUACUCGAUUAGAGUUAGGUCUUGUGGUGGAACGUCGUAUUUGUAAUUCGGCUAUGGUGGUCAGGGAUUUAUGCCUUGUUCCUUCCUGUGUCGUUGGGACAUAAGGCGUUUAACUAUAAGGCCAUUGUCGUAACCCUUGAUUGGUCAUUACUGGCAAAUAUCAUCUGUCUGAUGUUACAUCGAUUUUCGUAAGUUGAUGUAAGUCGUGAUAUGAGAGUAACGGAAAGAAUUGAUUUUUUAUCGAUCUUCGGUUCUUCUUUUAAUGUUCUUCUUCUAAAAUUAUUAUUUUCUUGGCCUAUAUUUAUUUGCUUUUUGAACAUUUUGAUUUCUCUCUAUUUUUAUUGAAGUUUUACUUAUUGUAAGUGAUUUUGAAUAUUUCUAGUAUAAAUAAUUUUGAAUAUUUCUUUUUUUCGCAUUAAAUUAGAUGGGAGUAUUCUUGAUACGGAUAAUAUUAAUAAAAUUGUUAUGUAUUGUAAAUUAUAGAUUUAAGAUUUUAAAAUAUAGUUUAAGUUAGUUUUAAGCUAUCAUCGUUGGACAACGUGGGAUUAAUUAGCGAGCGAAUGUAAAAAACUUUUGUAAAAAUCGUUGUAAAGAUCCAUUAAUUCAAAUAAUUAUGUUAUUUCAUAAUGUUUUAAAUUUAUAAUUAAUGAAUAUUUCUUUUAAUCUAUUCAUGUAUGUACUUUUUCUUUUAUCUACUUAUGUAUAUUAUCUUUAAUCUACUUAUGUAUAUUUUAUAUUAUUAUGUAUUAUUUUAUUAUGUAUUUUAUUAUUAAUUAAUCUUUUUUAUUUUGUAUUUUAUAUUUAAUUUAUUUGAAUUAAUCAUUAAUUUUUAUGUUUUUUUUAUUUUUUAUUUUUUAGGUUUAGGUGGGUCUCGAUGCGUAGUCACCUCCUCGUCGGUGAGACCUGGUAAUUGGCAUCGCUUUCCAAAAUUUUACUUCAUUCACAAAAUUUAUUUCAUUAUUCAAGUUUUCGAAAUAUUUUAAAUCUAAAAAUAUCAAAUAUAUUUUAUCAAUGAUAAUGUUUGGAAAGCGAUGACAAGCUAAGAACUACGCACAUCUGCAGUCCAGUAUAAACUUUGUAUAAUUCAUUUAAUUAUUUUGACUUUUAAUUUUUAAUUAAUUAAACUGGACUGCAGAUAUUAUUUAUAAAUUAAUAUAUUCGAGAGUAUUCUUGAUAUGGAUAUUGCAAAUACAUUUUAAACCUAGUUAUUAAGAUUUUAAAUUAAUUUAAAUUAAAUUAAUUUAAAAGUUCGUCGAUGGACGAUGUGAGACAACAAUGGACAACAUUUUAGAUUUUAAUUUUUUAUUAUAAUUUACUAUAUUAAGUUGAAUUACGAUAAUUCUAAUGAUCUAUUGUUAAUAUUGUAUAAUUUAUUGUAAAUAAUUUUUAUUUUAAUUCUUCUUUUUAGGUUAUAUGUCAAUAUGUCUCUAAUAUAUUUAAACUUUAUAUUAA